UUGUGCUUCCUGGUCAGGGAGCGGGAAAGAUGAAGGCGUUUUCUUGUGUUUUAAAAUUGUGUUUGUGUUUUGUGCUUCCUGGCCAGGGGGCGGGAAAGAUAAAGGCGUUUUCUUGUGUUUUAAAAUUGUCUUUGUGUUUUGUGCUUCCUGGCCAGGGGGCGGGAAAGGUAAAGGCGUUUUCUUGUGUUUUAAAAUUGUGUUUGUGUUUUGUGCUUCCUGGUCUGGCGGCGGUAACGUUGAUGCAGUGAGGCGUACUUUGCCGCUCCUCUCACCUCCGUCUCCUGGGUAUCUGAACGUGUGAACAUUUGAACUUUUUAUUUAUGAGCAACUGAGCAUGAAUACCUGAACAUUUUUUGACGAUCAAUUGAAUAUGUGAAAAUCUUAUGAAUAUUUGAAUAUCUUACGCACGACUAACUCAACAUUUGAAUAUUUUACCCUUGAACAGUUAAAUAUAAACAUUUGAACAUUUUGCUUACCGCCAUCUUAGCUUUUUCUUUUACAACUCUCAUUUGGUACUGGCAUCUUCUGUGGGCCUUUUUUUCCUCUCUCUCUCUCUCUCUCUCUCUAUCCCCAGCUCGUCACUUGCAACACCAGUAGAGUUUUCAUCUUUAUCACAACCUCACAACGCAUGGCAGCAAAACUCACGCCAGUAAAUCCUUCGAAACACGACAGGAAGUAAAUAAAAAUGGAGAGGUUGUGUAUUUUUGCUUUUUGUAUUUUGUCGGUCUCCAGGAAGUGCGCGGUUGUAAUGUUUCCCCUGCGAUAUUUUUCUAAUGAGUUGCGUGGCUGCGGGCGUGGAUGGAAGCAGCGAGGCGGGACGAGAGAGGAAGUGAGAGAAAGUGUGAGGAUGAUGCCCGGAAGGGAUGGAAGUGGAGGUGCUGGAAAUACGGGCUCCCAGUGAAUGUACAUAUUGUUUCGCCCUGAAUGGAAUGGAAUGGAAUGAAGUGAGCGGAGUGGUGAAUGAAUUGUAUAAGAAGUGUGGUAGUUAAAUACUGCAGCGCAAUGAAUAUAUAGUAAAUGUUUCCUUGCAGUGAAUGAAUAGAAUAGAGCACAGGGAGUUGUGUGAAGGAAAAUUGUGAAUGAAUAAAACGCAGCACAGGAAGUUGUUUGAAGGAAAAUUGGUGAGUUUCAUAAGGUAAGUGAUGAAUGCAAAGGUUAAUACGUGUUGGAAAAGGAGAGCUAUCUUUGCUGAAGGAGAGGAAAAUGUAGACUGGCAGUAUUACAUCGAGUACUUGGAAACGAGAUGUUGCGGAAAGCGGAGAAAAUAUCAGAAAAA